rnacentral:misc_RNA from 1 species
UGGCUCUCGCAUCGAUGAAGAACGCAGCGAAAUGCGAUAAGUAAUGUGAAUUGCAGAAUUCAGUGAAUCAUCGAAUCUUUGAACGCAACUUGCGCCCUCUGGUAUUCCGGAGGGCAUGCCUGUUUGAGUGUCAUGUAGCCUCAAUCCCCCGGGUUUCCGGGAAGAUUGGACUUGGGUGUUUGCCAUCUGGCUCGCCUUAAAUGAAUUAGUGGAAUGACUGAUGUAGUCGAGAGUAAUAAGUUUCUCUUGAUCAAGUUGGUUUACUGCUCAUAACAAACAAUACUAUGACUCUGACCUCAAAUCAGGUAGGAUUACCCGCUGA